ACACAUGGGCAGUUUCUUGCAUUAUGGGUUGGCAUCCUUCACCAUGUCUGCAACAUUCACACCUGGACUAUGGGAAGUUGCAAACACGGACACCUUGAAUCGGAUCAAAUGCGGGGAAAGAUAUGGAUCCAGAGAGACUCCCAGUGCCACAAAGCUUUAGUGGAUAUAGUUCUCGAUAAGAGGUGGCAGAAAGAUGUUCACAACUAUCUGCGAUUCAGGUAGUGUGGCUAUACUUUUUCACACUGAUGUAUAUUAGUAAUAUUUAUGCUUACUGCUCAUGUACACAGAAGUAUGUAUUUCAGAUUUCAACGGUAUGCCUUGAAAUCUGAAAAAACCUACGGAUACAUUUCCGAGUUGCAAAGCUGGAUUGUGAAGAACAGACUCACAAGUGGAGUAGGGAUGCCUAGAAGGAGGAGGCUCCUCCCAGAUGACCCCAGACAGCUUGGUUUGGUGCCCCCUGUACCUGCACCAGCCACAUCAGACUUGUUGCAGAGACAAGUCAGAAGAGGUCUAGGACCGUUAUUCCAACCAGCAUCUGAUGUGGAAGGAUCCCCAUAGGAGAUCACCUUGCAUGUGUCCUGGUACUUGUCAGGCAGGAUCACGAGGGAAAGAACUUCAGUUCACUGAAAAAGUCAUAGCUUUUACUC